rnacentral:rRNA from 1 species
GACGAACGCUGGCGGCGUGCUUAACACAUGCAAGUCGAACGGAAAGGCCCUGCUUUUGUGGGGUGCUCGAGUGGCGAACGGGUGAGUAACACGUGAGUAACCUGCCCUUGACUUUGGGAUAACUUCAGGAAACUGGGGCUAAUACCGGAUAGGAGCCCCUGCUGCAUGGUGGGGGUUGGAAAGUUUCGGCGGUUGUGGAUGGACUCGCGGCUUAUCAGCUUGUUGGUGGGGUAGUGGCUUACCAAGGCUUUGACGGGUAGCCGGCCUGAGAGGGUGACCGGCCACAUUGGGACUGCGAUACGGCCCAGACUCCUACGGGAGGCAGCAGUGGGGAAUAUUGCACAAUGGGCGGAAGCCUGAUGCAGCAACGCCGCGUGCGGGAUGACGGCCUUCGGGUUGUAAACCGCUUUCGCCUGUGACGAAGCGUGAGUGACGGUAAUGGGUAAAGAAGCACCGGCUAACUACGUG